GACGAACGCUGGCGGCGUGCUUAACACAUGCAAGUCGAACGGGAAGGCCCUGCUUUUGUGGGGUGCUCGAGUGGCGAACGGGUUAGUAACACGUGAGUAACCUGCCCUUGACUUUGGGAUAACUUCAGGAAACUGGGGCUAAUACCGGAUAGGAGCUCCUGCUGCAUGGUGGGGGUUGGAAAGUUUCGGCGGUUGGGGAUGGACUCGCGGCUUAUCAGCUUGUUGGUGGGGUAGUGGCCUACCAAGGCUUUGACGGGUAGCCGGCCUGAGAGGGUGACCGGCCACAUUGGGACUGAGAUACGGCCCAGCCUCCUACGGGAGGCGGCAGUGGGGAAUAUUGCACAAUGGGCGGAAGCCUGAUGCAGCAACGCCGCGUGCGGGAUGACGGCCUUCGGGUUGUAAACCGCUUUCGCCUGGGACGAAGCGUGAGUGACGGUAAUGGGUAAAGAAGCACCGGCUAACUACGUG
rnacentral:rRNA from 1 species